AGGAAACCAAUGCAAUUAGGGUUUAGUACCAGGCCUCUUUGGUGUAUCACAUGGAGCUCUUCAAUUCAUGGCUUAUGAAGAGUUAAAGAAGGUUCGACUCAAAAUUGGUGAUCAAUCCAGUAGUCAACAAUUUAGCUCUGUGGAAUACAUUGUUUUUGCUGCGUUAUCGAAGAUGUUUGCAGUGAUCACAACUUAUCCCUAUCAAGUGAUAAGGUCACGGUUACAAGAUCAGCAUCAGACUUACAAUGGUGUCCUAGAUACAAUCCUACAGACUUAUAGGCGGGAGAGUUGGAGAGGAUUUUACAAAGGCAUGUUGGCAAAUCUACUGCGGGUUGUUCCUGCAUGCUGCAUUACUUUUGUAGUGUAUGAAAAUGUAAGCCAAAUGCUUACAUCUCAAAGUCAUUGAAAAAAAAUCAAGGCUUCAAUUCUGAAGACUUACGUUAAGAUUUCUUUCCCUGGGUUUCACUGUUGUUUUUUCCUUGAAGGAAUCCGGUUUUAAAUCGGGAUAUCCGUAUGUUAAAAUGAUAUACACUUUAAUUAUGGUUUGUAACUUGUAAAGGGAAGAUACAACGUUUGCAAAACUCAGAAAACGAAAUGAUCAAAUUAUCCCGAAAUAUCUCAACUGGUGAAGUUGUGGCUCCUGGUUGUGCUGACAUUAUCAAGAAUUUUUUUCCCCAACCCAACAUUGGAGGAAACUGGCUUUUUUUCGAAAAGUGCUCCUAAUUUUUUAUAUUUAGUUUGUCUGCGUUUCCUUUGCAUGAUUAGACACCGUUCAAAAUUACAAGCCUGCUAAGACUGAUGCCCUGAUUUUACAAUUCCCCAAAGUCUAUAAAUUGCUCCGUUUCAUCUUAAGUCGGUCAGGAAACCAGAAUACAACAAUAUAACUUGUUAUCUUGGUUUUCCAGCUUCUACGGACCCAAAACGUGAAAAAAAAGGUCAGUGUAACAAUAGUUGCUGUAACACUCUCCAAACCAUUUAUUUCUGAAAAUUGCAGCAAAAGCAAACGUUGUACAUUCCUUUGAAGUAAAAGGCAUUGGUGAUUAUAUUAAACUUUCUGGAUUCCUGUAGGAUCAUGCAUUUCGUUAGGAUCAUCCAUUUCGUGUAUGAUAUUCAAAAUCCAAAGCAGAACUUUAAAAAUGUAAUGUGUUUUCGAGAAAACUGUGUAAACACUAUUUUCCAUUGCUUUCUUAGUAUUUCAAGUGCGCAAUUAAAGUUAGCAUUUUGAUGACUUUCUAGCUUAUAGAAAGAUAUCAUAUCCUUUACUUGUCGAAAAUUGUAAUUGUGUUAUUUUAAAAAGUUUUCAAAAAAUUGCUUAAAAAGAAGAAAAAUGUUCGGUACCUUGUCAAGAGUUUCUAUUCCUUAGGCGCUUUUAAUUUGUCAUUACUAUAUCGCUACAAGACGUUUAUUCAAUGGAUGAAAGCUGAUUGAUAAUUAAUAAAAUGUCUCCGAGAUAAAGAAAAAAUUA